AUUUGUGGUGGUGUUGGGUUUUUUUUUCGGUUGUUAUUAUUUUCCCUUGCAGGAUUAGGACCAUUUUCUCAUUCUAUUCUUCUAAGAGAUCUUCAAGGCAGAUAAGGCAGGGACUAAAUUCCUCAUUUCACAGACACAGAAAUUGAUUCCCAGUGAGGGAAGAGCUUGCUCAAAAUUGCAUAGUAAUUCAGUGGAAGAGCUGGGGCCAGAAUCUAUGCCUCAAUUCAGUUCAACUUAAGAAACAUUUCUUGAGAUUCUAUUGUGUGCCUAGCCCUGUGCUUGACACCAGGAGAAAUACACUUUUUGUUAAGACACAGUCUUUACCUUUCAGGAGCUUACAAUCUAGCAGGGAUGCUACAAAAUAUGGAUCUUUGUAUAUUUGAAAUUGAUUCCCUGUCUCCUGAUGAAUUUGGAUUAGCAUUUCAGAUGUAAAAUUCCAAGGUCAGAGUGUGGGCUGUGUGUGUGUGUGUGGAAACAUAAGUACCUAUUGAUUUCAUUUUAGAAAAGAGCCCAAGUCAUUUUCUGGACACUUCACAGGCAAGUGGUACUCCUCCCAUCAGUACUAAUUGUCCCUUGUUCUUUUGCUUGCACCCCCAAACCCAGCUGAGAAAGCCUUCCCAUCUUUGCUUUAUAAUAACUUCAUAGAUGAAGUCUAUAACUCGCCCUGGCAAUGACAUCAUGGAAGAAAACCUUCACAUUCUCCUUGAUAGUUAACCUUGGGUGAUUCAGGAAGCAUUCUCUUCUGAUGUUCUCAUCUUUCUCAACCAAUUACUGUGCUCAAAGGUCCCUGAAAAGGGAGGUGACCAUGCUACUCUGCUCCACCAAUCACCAUUCUGGAAUUCACUUUUCUCUCCCCUCCCACACCCAAAUGAGGGAGCAUCUCUAACACACAUCAGAUAUGGAACUCUAUGUAAAAAAAGGAAAGCCGCAAAGUCACAGUAGUGCAAUGAAGUCUGGGGCACUUGGACUCGAUUUCCUCUGCCUGGAUACACACUUUGAGAUGAGGAAGUUGAAGGUGACGGAAUUUCAAACCUUGCUUGGUGUCAAGGGUCUCCCUGAUUGCAUGUCCAGCAUUCUGUUCAUUAUGGCACACAAAGGACCUAUGACAGCCAUAUGCAGUUAGGAUCAGGACCAUUUUCUCAUUCUACCCUUUCAAGAGAUCAGGGAGGCAGCUAAGUCAUUUCACAGAUGAAGAAACUGAGAUCCAGUAAGAGGCACAGUGAAUAGAGUUGCAGG